rnacentral:lncRNA from 1 species
GCUUAGGUGUAUUGUAUGCCUUUUUGAUAUAUUUUUCUGGAUGUAAUUCAUCAGAAAUCAAAGAACAUCUUUCUAGAAUUCUGUAUUCCCUGGAUAAUACUUUUAAUGUUAACAUAAUAUUCAAUGGUUAUAAUGGACAAAUGUAAAGUACUUCACUAACUAACUAUUUUUUUUUUUGUUGUUUUUGUUUUUGUUUUUUUGUUUUUCGAGCCGGGGUUUCUCUGUAUAGUCCUGGCUGUCCUGGAACUCACUUUGUAGACCACACUGUCCUAGAACUCAAAAAUCCACCUGCCUCUGCCUCCCAAGUGCUGGGAUUAAAGGCCUAACUCUUUUUUUUUUUUAAAUAUUUUUUUUUAUUACGUAUUUUCCUCAAUUACAUUUCCAAUGCCAUCCCAGAAGUCCCCCAUACCCUCCCCCCCACUCCCCUACCCAUCCAUUCCCACUUUUUGGCCCUGGCAUUUCCCUGUACUGGGGCAUAUAAAGUUUGCGUGUCCAAUGGGCCUCUCUUUCCAGUGAUGGCUGACUAGAAGGCCUAACUCUUAUAUAAACUAUAAAUAUAUUGACUAAACACUGUUGUAAUCAGUGAAUAAUACUUUUUAUAAAAUUGUAGUCUGGAUAUAACUAAUUUUUUUUUUCUGUUUUAGUCUUUGUAUUCUAGGAACCAAUCUGGGUAAUAUAUUAUAUUUUGUUGAUGUAUUUUUUCUUUCUUUUAUUUAUUUAUUUAUUUUUUUAUUAUUUGAAACAGAAUUUCUCUGUGUAUCCCUGAGUGCCCAGGAACUGUCUCUGAAGAGCAAAUUGGCCUUGAACCUACAGUGAUCUUCUUGCCUCUGCCUCCCAAGUGCUGGGAAUAAAGGUGUGUGGCACCGUGCCAGACAGCUAUCAUGUUUCUUAAGUCUUUUCCAACCUCUUCUUUUUUUCUACUUUGAUGUAGUUAUGCUAGCCAUCUUUUGGUUUUCUCGUGUAUGAUUGCAUAUAUGCUAAGCAUUUAAAAAUGAUGUCUGUGUAGCAUGCAAGCCUUGUUGGUGUUUGCAGAGGCCAGAGGAGGGCAUUGGCUUCACUGGAACUGGAGUUAAGACUAUUGUGAGCUCUCGUGUGGGUGCUGGGAAGUGUACUGGUCCCUUUCUCUUGACUGUUGAGCCAUCUCUCCAGCCCCACUGUUGGAUAUUUUAAAAUUCAGUGGAUCAGCUUCAUGCUCCCAACUAAAUAGUUUAGUCUUGGGUGAGUCAUCUCACUACUUACAUGUUUUUAUUGUCCCUUUUGUACUCUGUUGUUUUGAAAGGUGUGUGUGCUUUAACAUUCUUUUACUGUUUACCAUAGAGAUUAUGGCGUCCUUUAUCCUCUACAUGGGCACUGGAAUGUGCUAAUCUUUUAGUAUUGUAAACAGCACUGCAGUUUAUAUUCUUGUACACACACAUUUUGCCUUUUGUAAGAAGUUAGUUUUCUACAAAUAAAAUUGUGGACUGUUUAGGACAACAUUUAAUUGGAGCUGCCUUACAGGUUUAGAGGUUCAGUCCAUUAUGAUCAAGGCAAGAACAUGGCAGCAUCCAGGCAGGCAUGAUGAAGGCAGAGCUGAAAGUUCUACAUCUUCAUCUGAGGGCUGCUAGUGGAAUACUGGCUCCCAGGUCGCUAGGGCUAGUAAAAGCCCACGCCCACAGUGACACACCUACUCUGACAAGGCCAAACCUCCAAAUAGUGCCACUCUAGGCCAAGCAUAUGCAAACCAUGACAUGGAUUUAAAAAGUUUUCACAUUUAAAGCCCUAAGACAUGUUUGGGAGAAUACUUUUUUUCUUUGAAAUAUAUAAAUAUUUAUAAAGUAUAAAUAUUUAGUUUAAACUUUUUAAGGCAAACUCACACAAAGCCUUCAUUAAAACUAGUUGUACUGUAUGUAGUCUGUCUUCUUUUCCUGCGCUUGUGCUUAAAGUAAGAGAAACCUUACCACUGCCACCUUCGUAUGAGAGUUGCUAACAUCAAGCAGGAAAAAGGAAGUCCUGAAUAUUUUCAGAGAGAACUUGGGCUGUCAGUACAAAAGAAGAGCUUUGACUGGGCCAGUCCAAUCUUCUUGCUAGCACUAUCAGCUGCUGAAAUACAGUGUUGCAGCCAUUUGAAAGUUUUGAAGGACAAGACUUUUCAGACUCCCCACCUAUAGUAGAAAGUUGGGAAUCAGUGAGAUUGAUGCAGGCUAAAGACAUUUCUAGACAGAGAAAGCCUCUGAAAAUUCUGGAAGUUCCAGUCUAUUAAAAUAAAGCAGUAAAAAUAUAUCUAGGAAAAGCCCAAGGCAGCGUUGACUGACAGCUGUAUAGCAGGCCCCAGAACAAGCAGUUUAGAUCAGAGAUCCUCCUAAAAUAGAUAUCCAGGCAAUUAAGGUUAUUUUAAAGAGAUUUUAUAAUAGGUUGGCCCAAUUAUUUUUGUCAGACUUUUUACAUUAUGAGUUUGAUUUUGUUAAUAGAUACAGACUUCUGGGUUUCUGUCUUGUCAUUGAUGUGAUACUGAUUGCUUAGUUUUAAAUGAGUUUGGGUUUUUUUUUUUUUUUUUGUCUAUAUUAUGUAAACUAUGAAGUUUUUAAAAUAUAGUCCCCCAAUACCUUUAUCUAUUUUAUAAAGUCUGUUAUCUGAGAUUAAUAAGAGAAAAUAUUAAGUGGAGAACUUAAAUAAUCUAUGUGUUAAAAUAACUUUUAAAUUUUUAGAGGCUAUUUACACACCUUUAAUCCUGGUAUUUUGAAAGCGGAGGCAAAUGGAUCUCUGAGUUCAAGGCCAGCCUGGUCUAAGGACAGCCAGUGCUACACGUGAAACCUUGUCUCAGAAAAACAAAACAAAACAAAAAACAAAAACAAAAAAUCAAACCCAAGAGUAUAAAGGCCCCAGUACUCUUAUAUAGCAGAGGACUGCCUGGUCUGCCUCAAUGAGAGAAGACACACUUAACCCUGGAGAGACUUGAGGCCCCAGGAAGUGGGGAGGUCUGGUGGUGUGGGGGUCUGAGAAUAUCCUCUUGGAGACGGGAGCAGAAUGAAUUAGGAGGGGGAUAACUACCGGACUGUAAAAAAAGAUUAAAAACAAUUAAAAGG